UGCCCCUCACUUGCCAAUACGUCUAGAUCAGCCAGGGCGUCGGCAUGUGUAGCGUAUUAUGUUAGGCUCUCUCGAGAUAAGGAUACGAUGUCCCUUUAUCGGUUGGUUUCCUGAGUGUGCGGCCCGUUCGUUUUUUUUGUUACUUUCGCAUCGUUCGGUGCAUUCUGGGGGCUGUGUUGGCUUUUGGUGGCUUGCUUGGCCUUUUGGCUUUGCUUGUUGCUACUUGUCGGGCUGCUUUCGGGAAUGUCAACCGUGGAGGUGCAUGAGUGGUGUUUGGUUUGUUACGUGUGGAUGGCUGUUUGCUUGUGCAACAACGUUCACGCUGCAUACCUCUUCAGUUUUGCGGCAAGGCUUGGUUUGGCUUGUUCAUAUUGUGGGUUUCCUGUGUUGCAUACCUAGUUGAUGGAAAAGUGUGGGUUUUACGAUUUUCAUUUUCGUCUUGCGUCGUUCUUUUGGCGUGGGAUGAACAAUGAAGCGAUCUUUAUGAUCCAUCGUGCUGUUGCGUUUGCAACAAUGAUGUGGCCUAUGAAGCAUCGUUUGGUCUCUUGUAUACGGAAGCUCAUUUGGGCUUGGGUCUUUAUAAGAUCUUCGUUACGCCCUUGUUAAGCGUUCUCGCUUCUCCUAAACGAUUG
rnacentral:misc_RNA from 1 species